AUUGAACGCUGGCGGCAGGCCUAACACAUGCAAGUCGAACGGUAGCACAGAGGAGCUUGCUCCUUGGGUGACGAGUGGCGGACGGGUGAGUAAUGUCUGGGAAACUGCCCGAUGGAGGGGGAUAACUACUGGAAACGGUAGCUAAUACCGCAUAACGUCGCAAGACCAAAGAGGGGGACCUUCGGGCCUCUUGCCAUCGGAUGUGCCCAGAUGGGGUUAGCUAGUAGGUGGGGUAACGGCUCACCUAGGCGACGAUCCCUAGCUGGUCUGAGAGGAUGACCAGCCACACUGGAACUGAGACACGGUCCAGACUCCUACGGGAGGCAGCAGUGGGGAAUAUUGCACAAUGGGCGCAAGCCUGAUGCAGCCAUGCCGCGUGUAUGAAGAAGGCCUUCGGGUUGUAAAGUACUUUCAGCGAGGAGGAAGGCGUUGUGGUUAAUAACCGCAACGAUUGACGUUACUCGCAGAAGAAGCACCGGCUAACUCCGUGCCAGCCGCCGCGGUAA
rnacentral:rRNA from 1 species